UCCUGUCUCUGCCAGUUCUAUGAUGGGUGGUUCAGACCAUGAGUCGGAUGAUACAAUCAUUUUGAGCGAGGAUGGAAGCCCCUCACGGAAGUGUCAAAGAUCUGAUGACGAAGCAAACAAUGUAAGUUUGUAAUUCAUUCUUCAAUUAACUUGUCAUAAAAUGGAUUUCACACUGCUGUUUUUUUUAAUUUAUUUUUUACAGCUAAUAGAGAGCAUACUGAAGAAAAAGCCUGGUGGAGAGGUUGUCAUCAAGGAAUACUCCAAAACUAAAAGCCAGACGAAAGAUGAUCAACAUUCUUGUUUCGGCAAUGACAGAGACUCAUGGGACAUCACCACCGUGCAGAGUGAGAGAAACGUUUGCACAAGGCAUCGUCUCCUUGUUCCCAUACCUGAAGGAUCCCUACAGCGCAAAGGGCAUCUGCGGUUAAUUCGUCUGGUAUGGUAUCUGAGCAAAUAGGACGUGGUUAUUUGUUUUUUCUUUCAAGAUUAGUAACCAUGUUCAUAUUCUUAAGGAACAUUUUUACGACCCUAAUAGUGGAGAAGGGUACCUCUCGUAUAGAAUCAAGGAAUUUGGUUUCAUCAGAAAAACGUCCCACUCAACUAUACUUUGGAGGGCCAACUGAGUCCGGUCCAUCCACUUUGGCUACCCUGAGUGAAGACCAGUGCCGAGAGGCCAUUUCUCUUAUAAAGCAUUCUUCUGAUGAAGAAACGGAAGAUGAGAUUGACCUUUGAGUACAGGAAGAAGAUGACCCACGACCCGAGUAAAUGCUUCACCAUCCUAACCCAAUUUCCAUGCUUUCUGGAUGUGAAGGGCUUGUUUCAGAUUGAACAGGAUUUUGUGCUGCUGUUUGGAGGGAACAUCAGCCAAGUUUUUGGAGAGGUGGCCAACUAUAUUCAAGCAAAAGAUCAUCAUGCUGUGUAAGACCCUAAGGAAGGCCCUAAGCAAGGCCCUAAGCAAGGCCCUAAGCAAGGCCCUAAGCAAGGCCCUAAGCAAGGCCACUCAGGGAGCUGAACUUCAGGAGCUGAUCCAGAUGGCUGAAUCUGCAGGAUGGGAAGGUGACGUUUCCUCAUCCUUCUCCAUUUGAUUCCUCCUUCAUCACAAGGCUGCAAAAGACCAGGCAAGAUGUCUGCAUCCCAAGCUGAACAGCAUCUUGUGAUAUUCCAAAAGGCAGGAACCAGUAUCCAGGAGCACCAUGAUGCGAUUGGCCAGAGCCGCCAACCAUAUCUUCUUGCAGUCGGGACCAGGAAGAGCAGCAUCCAUGCUUACUUCAUCAUCCUGGACAAGAGCGCCUUGCAAGUCAACGAGCGCUCUUGGUGCUUCGAUGAGCUUUUCAAGACUCACUUUGUUUUUGGUACUGCUUACAAUACAAUGCUGAGCAACAUGUCCACCUUCAUAAGACAACUGUGUACAUCAUAGACAUUGGGAAGGUUAAGGAGACUCCAAGGGUUUCUGAGCUCAGAGCUAGACUCCUGCACUAAUGUAUUUGGUCCAUUUUCAGACUUUAGGAAGCAUUUGAACAAGGCACAAUCCGGAGACUGUCAAAUGCUAAUACAGCCGUUGAUGAUCAACCAAGUAAUGCUGAUUUUCCUUCAAAUUCUAGUUGUAACCAUGUACCAAUAUCUAACAAGAACACACUUGAUGUGCGUGCGUCUGCUAUUGCACAACUGCAGGCUGCAGGUGUAGGUCAGACUUUAAAUAGUUUUGUAUCUUCCACGGCAGAAGAGGUUCAAGAGAUACAGGGUCAAGCUAAAGCGACUGCUCUUACAUGUAUAUCUUCAAAAGACACAAAUUGUCAGAAAAAUACAUUAUUUUCAGGAUAUUGAAAAUCCUUUCACAUUUGUUGAAUUCAGUAUCAAAACGACGUGCUUAUUUUAUACAAAAAUGAGGAACAGUUCAACCAGUUGAGAAAGUCCUUGGUGUUAGAUUUGACAACUGAAGAAACAAAACUACUGGAACUUAUGAUCAAACCGUCAUAACUGAUACAUUUUCUUAUGUUCCAAUUCUCCAGACGUUGCAGUCAAUUCUGAAGAACCCAAACACAAGUGGCAUGUUUAACUCGGGGCACAAUUUUAAAGAUGGAGUUUACUUUGAUUUGAAAGAUGGACUAUACAGUCAUGGCCAAAAGUUUUGAGAAUGACACAAAUAUUAAUUUCCACAACGUUUGCUGCUUCAGUGUCUUUAGAUAUUUUUGUCAGAUGUUACUAUGGAAUACUGAAGUAUAAUUACAAGUAUUUCAUAACUGUCAAAGGUUUUUAUUGACAAUUAAUUGAAGUUAAUGCAAAGAGUCAAUAUUUGCGUCAUUCUCAAAACAUUUGGCCACGACUGUACACAGAGAGGAGGAAUCGUCCACCUGCACUCAAAUUGGAUGAUGGGAGCAAUGAUUUGGGUCUAAAUGCUGUUCAGUCUUGGUGUCUUCUCCGUAAUUCGCCAUUGAUAUUUGGUGAUCUGGUACAGAAAGAUGAUAAAUACUGGCAGCUGCUUCUGUUACUACUACUGUUACUACUAUUGUGUUUUCUCCUAUACUAACAGAGGGCAUGACUAUCUAUCUGAUGCACUUCAUUGCUGAACAUCAUAGGCUUUUCAAGUAUUUGUUUCCUGAUAGAAAUCUGUUACUGAAACACCACUUCAUGAUACAUUAUCUCGUUGUAUAGGGAAUAUUGGGUUCAUUCUUCAGUCAUGGUGUAUGCGCUAUGAGGCAAAACAUUUCUUUAAAAAGCAACUGAAGUUUUAAGAAUGUCACUAUGACCUUAGCCAAGAAACACAAAUGACAUGGCAUAUAAUUGGGAAACCUUCAGCCAGGAUAGACUAGCUAUAGGUCCAGGAAAGAUGUCAAGGCUCAAUGACCUGAAAGAAAGCCAUGAGAUUGCUGCCAAGUUGAAUGUCUCAGGGCACACAAAUGUUUAGUCAGUUAAAUGGGUAAAGCCCCAUGGUACAGAAUAUCAUCUUGAUUUGGUCAUAUGUGGUGAAGUAGUCAUUGAAAUGCCAGUAUUUUACAAAAUUAAGGCUAUUGUUCUGAAAGAGGAAAAUGUUUUUUUAGGUUGGGUCAGCUCUUGAAACCUUAUGUUUUGAUGAUCAUUUGCAUGCAUUUAAAGUUUUGAAGCAAAGUCCACCAUGCAAGGUAUUUCAUGUAAAUAACAUAAUGUACCACAAACCUUUUGAUUUGCUCAUGUCAUAUGGAGCAAGGGAUUCUUUUGACUAGAUUCUACUGUCACUUGAUAACAGUUUAAGCCAGGGCUGGGACUUAUGGUUUGGUCAUAAUAAACAUAUUUGAAUGUUGAAACCGCUUUGAUUGAGUUUAUUGUGAAAUUCCAAGUGCUUUUACAAAAUCUAAUUUCCAUUUACAUGGGGGAAGAGUAAACACAUUAACACUGAAUAGAGUA